UACAUGAGCGGCUAGCAUUAUCCGUAAUUAUUGGGUGUAGGGGAUGCGUAGAUGGUUUAUAAAGUUUGAAUUUACUAAACAAAGUUUUUUUAAUUUCUCAAAAACUAUAAACUAGAGUCUAUUAGGAGUAAAUAUAAUCUGUGAACGAGCGAUAAAAUGCGAAAAAUUCACGGUUUAUACCUAUGGUGAAAACAAUUUACUAUGAUAGACUGACAUUGAGGCAUGAAAGUAUGGUGAUCGAACAGG
rnacentral:rRNA from 1 species